CAUUAUCGAAUCGAAUCUCAAAGUCUUGGGAGAGACGAGGGAUUGUCGCUGGCCGGCGGGUGAUUCCGCCCGGCAUGUGCACGUCUCUCGUUUGUUCCAUCUCUUUUUCACACCUGUGCACUCAUUGUAGGUCCUCGAGAGAGGAUCUAUGUUUUCAAUCCACCGUCGAUAACGUAUGUUUGUAGAAGGUCAUGAUAAAUCUAUACAACUUUCAGCAAUGGAUCUCUUGGCUCUCGCAUCGAUGAAGAACGCAGCGAAUUGCGAUAAGUAAUGUGAAUUGCAGAUUUUCAGUGAAUCAUCGAAUCUUUGAACGCACCUUGCGCUCCUUGGUAUUCCGAGGAGCAUGCCUGUUUGAGUGUCAUUUAAUUCUCAACCGUGUCUCGAUUGAUUUCGAAGCCAUGGCUUGGACUUUGGGGGUUUGCUGGCCUUUCUCUAGGUCAGCUCUCCUGAAACGCAUUAGCGAUCUGGCGAGCAUGGUCUGGAGUGCACGGCCUUUCGACGUGAUAAUGAUCGUCGUGGGGCUGGAGCUUUGGAUCUUGCGCAAAGCGAGUUCGCUUCCAACUCUCUAGUAUGUUUCGUGUGGGAGUCAUGCAUCAUGAUGCGCUGCAAGGCGUGUGUGUUGUU
rnacentral:rRNA from 1 species